GGGAGAGACAAAGUACCGUUGCUCGUAAGUCGCGCGCCGUCCCCGGCCCUUGGCUACGGCGGCCCCAAACGCUCCGAGACAGGUACUCACACUGUACUUCGAGGUACCGCUGCGUCUGCAAGUUUCCGGGGACGGCGGGGUGCUCCACCUGGCAGAUCACCGGCACCCCGUCAUCCUCCUUGUGAACCUUCAGCAUCAGCUGGCUCGUCACAGUGUACAUGUCUGACCACUCCUCCACCUCCGACUUGCCUGGGGGACGCAGAAAACACCAAGAAAUCAGUCCCGAGAGUAUGCAAGUUACAUUUCAACCCUGCAUGAUAUAUACUAUUUUUAUUUAAAUAGAUGACAUAUGUGUCGUCUAGCUUGAUACCUCCCACAAAAAGGCAGCCGAAAGUUGAACCACGGUGCCGUCUGACUGCCGACGUUGGUCUGGAGGAGGAAGAGAGAAGCGCUUUCCACCCCUACGACCAUGUGAACUUGAAACUGAAGGCUGUCAUGCAGUUCCAAACUUCCAGGACAUCAUCCAAAUCCCCCGAAGUAAUCCAGUCAGGAGCAGAGAUAUAAGCAACCCCCGUGCCCACCCCCAUCCGCAACAAUCGCGUCGGAGAGUGACUACAUGGAUUUACAUAAUGGAAAUUGUAACUGAAAUGUUUAAACGCUGAGACUCUGGAAGACCACAGAAAACGCAGCGGCUGUGGGUAGCAAAGUAAGACACAGGCUUCGGGCCAGAUGGGAGACACGUCCAAGAACACCCAGAGAAGGAGGGAGGAGGCUUCCGGAUGGGAUGAAUAAGCCAAGGUGGCCCCUUUCCUGACCUCCGCACUCCCCGGGACACGGCGCGCCAUUAACUUUCUUUUAAUGUUUUGUACUUAGGGUACACAUUUAAUGGCUCAAUUCACUUAGAAAAGCAGAGGGGAAAUGAGAAACUCCUUCCUUCCAAAACCAUACCUAGGAAAUAGGAGAUUAAAACAGAGCAAGCUUUUUGAAACUUAA